CGGACGGGUGAGUAAUGUCUGGGAAACUGCCUGACGGAGGGGGAUAACUACUGGAAACGGUAGCUAAUACCGCAUAACGUCGCAAGACCAAAGAGGGGGACCUUCGGGCCUCUUGCCAUCGGAUGUGCCCAGAUGGGAUUAGCUAGUAGGUGGGGUAACGGCUCACCUAGGCGACGAUCCCUAGCUGGUCUGAGAGGAUGACCAGCCACACUGGAACUGAGACACGGUCCAG
rnacentral:rRNA from 1 species